rnacentral:rRNA from 1 species
UCGGCCUUAGUGGCGGACGGGUGAGUAACGCGUAGGUAUCUAUCCAUGGGUGGGGGAUAACACUGGGAAACUGGUGCUAAUACCGCAUGACACCUGAGGGUCAAAGGCGCAAGUCGCCUGUGGAGGAGCCUGCGYUUGAUUAGCUAGUUGGUGGGGUAAAGGCCUACCAAGGCGAUGAUCAAUAGCUGGUUUGAGAGGAUGAUCAGCCACACUGGGACUGAGACACGGCCCAGACUCCUACGGGAGGCAGCAGUGGGGAAUAUUGGACAAUGGGGGCAACCCUGAUCCAGCAAUGCCGCGUGUGUGAAGAAGGUCUUCGGAUUGUAAAGCACUUUCGACGGGGACGAUGAUGACGGUACCCGUAGAAGAAGCCCCGGCUAACUUCGUGCCAGCMGCC